UAGCUGUACUGUACCAAUCCAUCCAUUCGGCAUUCGAUGUUUUAAAAUUCGCGCAACCUAAUCGGAAACUUUAUACAUCUCCUACAUCUAGCGGUAAAGAAUGAAACCCCACCGCAGAUUUUAUUAUAGCCGUUCUAGUGUCGCAAUAUUUUUUCCCGUUCUAGUUUCGUCGCUUAAAUAUGGACGUUCUAGUGUCGGGUGGGCGUUCUAGUGACGCAUUCAAAAUACAUCUAGUGACAAAGAAUCAUUCCCUAAGUUCUAAUGUCGCAAAAACCGUUCUACUGUCGCAGAGGUUUCCGUCCUAUUGUCGUUACUAAAAUGUGGACGUUCUAGUGCCGCAGCGGAAUUUAGAGGUUUUUCCGUCCUAAUGUCGUGGCUAAAAUCUGGACGUUCUAGUGUCGGAAGGGCGUUCUAGUGUCGCGUUCUAGUGACGCAUUCGAUUAGUCCUUGUGGUUAUUAGUCCCAAUGUCUACAUGCCUUUACAUAAUUACUUAAC